rnacentral:rRNA from 1 species
GAAUAUUGGACAAUGGGCGAAAGCCUGAUCCAGCAAUGCCGCGUGUGUGAAGAAGGCCCUCGGGUUGUAAAGCACUUUUAUCAGGAACGAAAUACCACGGGCUAAUACCUUGUGGGGCUGACGGUACCUGAGGAAUAAGCACCGGCUAACUUCGUGCCAGCAGCCGCGGUAAUACGAAGGGUGCAAGCGUUAAUCGGAAUUACUGGGCGUAAAGGGUGCGUAGGCGGUUAUUUAAGUCUGCCGUGAAAGCCACGGGCUCAACCUGGGAAUGGCGGUGGAUACUGGAUAGCUAGAGUGUGUCAGAGGAUGGUGGAAUUCCCGGUGUAGCGGUGAAAUGCGUAGAGAUCGGGAGGAACAUCAGUGGCGAAGGCGGCCAUCUGGGACAACACUGACGCUGAAGCACGAAAGCGUGGGGAGCAAACAG